UUCCAAUACUGGCUCAUCGCCAUGCCUUAGGCGUGGAGGAAAGUCUGGGCAGCAUAGGACAACCGUGCUUCCUAACAGGAAGGACCACGCCUAGGGCGUGGUACAGACAGUGCAGCAGAAAACAAACCGCCACGCUCCGGCGCGGUAAGGGUGAAAAGGUGGGGUAAGAGCCCACCGGCCGAGUGGUGACAUAAGGCGCAUGGUAAACCUCACGGGCUGAAAGAUCAAGUAAACCUUGUGCAUCUUCGGGUGCUAGCUUGUCCGGCUACAAUUUAUUGACAAGGAGGGUGGAUCGAUGGACUGUAGUGGUGACGCUACAGCUAGAUAAAUGAUGGGCAUCACGCUUGCGGCGUGGUACAGAACCCGGCUUAUAGGUAUUGGAACGAA
rnacentral:RNase_P_RNA from 1 species